rnacentral:rRNA from 1 species
AUUGAACGCUGGCGGCAGGCUUAACACAUGCAAGUCGAACGAGUGGCGGACGGGGGAGUAAUGCUUGGGAAUCUAGCUUAUGGAGGGGGAUAACUACGGGAAAAUGUAGGUAAUACCGCGUACCAUAGGAUGAGCCCAAGGGGGCGUAGGUAGUUGGUGAGGUAAAGGCUCACCAAGCCAACGAUCUCUAGCUGGUCUGAGAGGCUGACCAGGCACACUGGGACGGAGCCAAGGCCCAGACGCCUACGGGAGGUGGCAGUGGGGAAUAUUGCGCAAUGGGGGCAACCUGACGCAGCCCUGCCGCGUGAAUGAAGAAGGCCUUCGGGUUGUAAAGUUCUUUCGGUAGCGAGGCGUUAACUACAGAAGAAGCACCGGCUAACUCCGUGCCAGCAGCCGCGGUAAUUC